AAGGAAUGUGGACCAGGACAAAAAUCAGUGGCAGACCAAAAACGUGAAUUCCAAGCCAGAUAUGCGGAGGAGCACCAGCUCGGAGAAGGAGGCUGCGGAGCAGUGUUUGCUGGCUACCGAUAGAAGAUCGUUUUCCAGUUGCCAUCAAACACAUUCCCAAAAAUAAAGUCUACUGCAAAGUGGCGGAUGAAAGCGGGAAAAGCUCUCGGUGGAAGUGGCCAUUAUGGUUAAACUUGCAAGUGAAGCAGAAGGGUCAGUGGGAAUAUCUGCACCUGUGUCCUUGCUGGAGUGGUUCGACCUUGGCAAAGAGCUGAUCCUGGUGCUGGAGAGACCUGUCCCUGCUGUGGACCUGCAAAAAUACAAAGCAGAAAUGGAAGAACUUUAACAGAGGACAAGGCCAAGGUCAUUCUGAAGCAACUAGUUGAUGCUGUAAAGGAACUUGAGGAUAAACACAUCUUUCAUCGGGACAUCAAGGGACAAAACAUUCUGAUUGAGACCGGCUCAGAUGUGCCUCGUGUUCGCAUCAUUGACUUUGGACUGAGCUGCUUUGUUAAACAGCGAUCUCUGUAUCGCAUCUUCUAUGGCACUCCUCUUCACAUCCCUCCGAGUG